UACGUAGGGGGCAAGCGUUGUCCGGAUUUAUUGGGCGUAAAGAGCGUGUAGGCGGCCUGAAAGGUCAGCUGUGAAAACUCGAGGCUCAACCUCGAGACGUCGGUUGAAACCAUCUGGCUAGAGUCCGGAAGAGGAGAGUGGAAUUCCCGGUGUAGCGGUGAAAUGCGCAGAUAUCGGGAAGAACACCCGUGGCGAAGGCGGCUCUCUGGAACGCAACUGACGCUGAGACGGCGAAAGCGUGGGGAGCAAACAGG
rnacentral:rRNA from 1 species